GCUGGAAGAGGGAGGGCAGUGGUAGGCUUAACUAACUGUAUCGACUUGCCUGGAGACUCCACCUGACCACUGAAGGGCAGCGAGGAAUCAGUGUCCUGUCACCACACAGAAGGCCUGGGGGCACCGGGAGCAGGCAGCACAGCUAACCACCAGGAGACUGGGCACACCUACGGGAUGCAUGCAGACAGGAUCAAGUUUGUUCUGAGGAAGAGUUCAGACCUCAAACCCUGGUGUCCUGCCUGCCUGCCGCUCAGAGGAGAGAGAGAGCCAGCAGGCACCACCCACCCAGCCCGGAAGAGACCAGAGAGCAGAGUCCUCAACGCCCAGGGCUUUCCGAGAGAUCACAGGUCUGAAAAGGAGCAGCUUCGGGGAGAAGGGCAAGCAUCCCCUGACAUAGCCCGGCCUCCUUGUCUGGAUUAAUCACGGGAUCUCCACGGCUGCUGCUAUCUAACUGAUGCCAAAACAUGUCUUCCCCCCCCCCCAUUCCCUUUUGUACCUUAGGGAAUCAGCUGUAGUAAAAGACACAUGGCUCCUG